rnacentral:rRNA from 1 species
CCUAGGCUAAUACAACCCGUACCGUAAGCCGACACAGGUAGUCGAGAUGAGUAUUCUAAGGCGCUCGGGUGAGCCGUGGAGAAGGAACUAGGCAAAUUUUGGCUGUAACUUCGGGAUAAAGCCAUCCCGCCGUAAGGCGGGACUCAGUGAAAAGGUUCAACCAACUGUUUAGCAAAAACACAGGGCCCUGCGAAAUCGAAAGAUGAAGUAUAGAGCCUGAUACCUGCCCGGUGCCGGAAGGUUAAGGGAGCUUGUCAGCCGCAAGGUGAAGCUUGCGACCGAAGCCCCGGUAAACGGCGGCCGUAACUAUAACGGUCCUAAGGUAGCGAAAUUCCUUGUCGGGUAAGUUCCGACCUGCACGAAUGGUCUAAUGAGUUGAACACUGUCUCCUCCACGAGCCCGGUGAAAUUGUAGUAUCGGUGAAGAUGCCGGUUACCCGCCACGGGACGGAAAGACCCCGUGAACCUUCACUACAACUUUGCAUUGAUUUUGAGUAACAGAUGUGUAGCAUAGUUGGGAGACAUUGAAGCAGUGGCGCCAGCCAUUGUGGAGUCAACGUUGAAAUACCAACCUUCUGUUACUUAGAGUCUAAUCCCGAGAGGGAGACAUUGCAUGGUGGGUAGUUUGACUGGGGUGGUCGCCUCCUAAAAAGUAACGGAGGCUCGCAAAGGUACCCUCAGUACGGUUGGUAAUCGUACGAAGAGCGCAUUAGUAAAAGGGUGCUUGACUGUGAGGCAAACAAGCCGAUCAGGUGCGAAAGCAGGCUAAAGUGAUCCGGUGGUUCUGUAUGGAAGGGCCAUCGCUCAAAGGAUAAAAGGUACUCCGGGAUAACAGGCUGAUCUCCCCCAAGAGCUCAUAUCGACGGGGAGGUUUGGCACCUCGAUGUCGGUUCGUCACAUCCUGGGGCUGGAGAAGGUCCCAAGGGUUCGGCUGUUCGCCGAUUAAAGUGGCACGUGAACUGGGUUCAGAACGUCGCAAGACAGUUCGGUCCCUAUCUGUGGUGGGCGUUAGUAAAUUGCGUGGACAUGAUCUUAGUACGAGAGGACCGGAUCGUAUGUACCGCUGGUGUAUCUGUUGUGCCGCCAGGUGCAGUGCAGAGUAGCUAUGUACAGCCAGGAUAAGCGCUGAAAGCAUCUAAGCGCGAAACCUUCCACAAGAUGAGUUUACUUUUAAGGGCCGUCAGAGACUAUGACGUUGAUAGGCUACAGGUGUAAAGGUGGUAACAUCACAGCCGAGUAGUACUAAUUGCCCGUAAGCUC